rnacentral:rRNA from 1 species
AACGAACGCUGGCGGCAUGCCUAACACAUGCAAGUCGAACGAUUGCCUUCGGGUGAUAGUGGCGCACGGGUGCGUAACGCGUGGGAAUCUGCCCUUAGGUUCGGAAUAACAGCUGGAAACGGCUGCUAAUACCGGAUGAUAUCGCGAGAUCAAAGAUUUAUCGCCUGAGGAUGAGCCCGCGUUGGAUUAGGUAGUUGGUGGGGUAAAGGCCUACCAAGCCGACGAUCCAUAGCUGGUCUGAGAGGAUGAUCAGCCACACUGGGACUGAGACACGGCCCAGACUCCUACGGGAGGCAGCAGUGGGGAAUAUUGGACAAUGGGCGCAAGACUGAUCCAGCAAUGCCGCGUGAGUGAUGAAGGACCUAGGGUUGUAAAGCUCUUUUACCCGGGAAGAUAAUGACUGUACCGGGAGAAUAAGCCCCGGCUAACUCCGU